rnacentral:rRNA from 1 species
AUUGAACGCUGGCGGCAUGCCUUACACAUGCAAGUCGAACGGCAGCGCGGACUUCGGUCUGGCGGCGAGUGGCGAACGGGUGAGUAAUACAUCGGAACGUACCCUGUUGUGGGGGAUAACUAGUCGAAAGAUUAGCUAAUACCGCAUACGACCUGAGGGUGAAAGUGGGGGACCGCAAGGCCUCACGCAGCAGGAGCGGCCGAUGUCUGAUUAGCUAGUUGGUGGGGAAAGGCCCACCAAGGCGACGAUCAGUAGCUGGUCUGAGAGGACGAUCAGCCACACUGGGACUGAGACACGGCCCAGACUCCUACGGGAGGCAGCAGUGGGGAAUUUUGGACAAUGGGGGCAACCCUGAUCCAGCAAUGCCGCGUGUGUGAAGAAGGCCU